CUACGGGUGGCUCCAGUGAGGAAUAUUGCACAAUGGGGGGAACCCUGAUGCAGCAAUGCCGCGUGGGGGAUGACGCAUUUCGGUGUGUAAACUCCUUUUAUAUGUCAAGAAAAUGACGGUAGCAUAUGAAUAAGCACCGGCUAACUCCGUGCCAGCAGCCGCGGUAAUACGGAGGGUGCAAGCGUUACUCGGAAUCACUGGGCGUAAAGGACGCGUAGGCGGGUUGGAAAGUCAGGUGUGAAAUCCUACAGCUUAACUGUAGAACUGCACUUGAAACUUCUAAUCUAGAGUAUGGGAGGGGGAGAUGGAAUUAGUGGUGUAGGGGUAAAAUCCGUAAAUAUCACUAGGAAUACCUAAAGCGAAGGCGAUCUCCUGGAACAUUACUGACGCUAAGGCGUGAAAGCGUGGGGAGCAAACAGGAUUAGAUACCCUAGUAGUC
rnacentral:rRNA from 1 species